rnacentral:rRNA from 1 species
CGAGAAUUUUUCACAAUGGGCGAAAGCCUGAUGGAGCGACGCCGCGUGGGGGAUGAAUGGCUUCGGCCCGUAAACCCCUGUCAUUUGCGAACAAACCUUGCUAUUUAAAAGAUGGCGAGCUGAUUGUAGCGAAAGAGGAAGGGACGGCUAACUCUGUGCCAGCAGCCGCGGUAAUACAGAGGGGGCAAGCGUUGUCCGGAAUUACUGGGCGUACAGGGCACGCAGGUGGCCGUACAGGUGGCGUGUGAAAGCCCCGCGCUUAACGCGGGGAGUGCAGGCCAAACGGUGCGGCUCGAGCGAUGCAGAGGGUGGGGGAAUUGCCGGUGUAGUGGUGAAAUGCGUAGAGAUCGGCAGGAACACCAAAGACGAAGGUACCCACCUGGGCAUCAGCUGACACUCAGGUGCGACAGCGUGGGGAGCGAAC